rnacentral:rRNA from 1 species
GAUGAACGCUGGCGGCGUGCCUAAUACAUGCAAGUCGAGCGAACAGACGAGGAUCUUGCUCCUCUGACGUUAUCGGCGGACGGGUGAGUAACACGUGGAUAACCUACCUAUAAGACUGGGAUAACUUCGGGAAACCGGAGCUAAUGCCGGAUAAUAUAUUGAACCGCAUGGUUCAAUAGUGAAAGACGGUUUUGCUUUCACUUAUUGAUGGACCCGCGCCGCAUUAGCUAGUUGGUAAGGUAACGGAUUACCAAGGCGACGAUGCGUAGCCGACCUGAGAGCGUGAUCGGCCACACUGGAACUGAGACACGGUCCAGACUCCUACGGGAGGCAGCAGUAGGGAAUCUUCCGCAAUGCGCGAAAGCCGGACGGAGCAACGCCGCGUGAGUGAUGAAGGUCUUCGGAUCGUAAAACUCUGUUAUUAGGGAAGAACAAAUGUGUAAGUAACUAUGAACGUCUUGACGGUACCUAAUCAGAAAGCCACGGCUAACUACGUG